AGUGAACGCUGGCGGCAGGCCUAGUACAUGCAAGUCGAACGGCAGCACAGCAGAGCUUGCUCUGUGGGUGGCGAGUGGCGGACGGGUGAGGAAUACAUGGGAAUCUGCCCAGUCGUGGGGGAUAACGUAUGGAAACGUACGCUAAUACCGCAUGCGCCCUAAGGGGGAAAGCCGGGGACCGCAAGGCCUGGCGCGAUUGGAUGAGCCCAUGUUCGAUUAGCUAGUUGGCGGGGUAAAGGCCCACCAAGGCGACGAUCGAUAGCUGGUCUGAGAGGAUGAUCAGCCACACUGGAACUGAGACACGGUCCAGACUCCUACGGGAGGCAGCAGUAGGGAAUAUUGGACAAUGGGGGCAACCCUGAUCCAGCCAUGCCGCGUGAGUGAAGAAGGCCCUCGGGUUGUAAAGCUCUUUUGUCCGGAAAGAAAAGCAAUCGGUUAAUACCCGGUUGUUCUGACGGUACCGGAAGAAUAAGCACCGGCUAACUUCGUGCCAGC
rnacentral:rRNA from 1 species